UACGGAGGGUGCAAGCGUUGCUCGGAAUUAUUGGGCGUAAAGGGUAGGUAGGUGGUCUCAUUUGUCUGGGGUGAAAGCCUUGAGCUUAACUCAAGAAGUGCCCCAGAAACGGUGAGACUAGAGUCUUGGAGAGGGUCGUGGAAUUCCCGGUGUAGCGGUGAAAUGCGUAGAUAUCUGGAGGAACACCGGUGGCGAAGGCGGCAUCCUGGACCAAUUCUGACGCUGAGGAGCGAAAGCCAGGGGAGCAAACGGG
rnacentral:rRNA from 1 species